AAGUCGUAACAAGGUUUCCGUAGGAAGGACGUAUCCAAACGUUAAACCCCCCUGUGAACCUUCACCUGUACUCGUACGUCCGUUAGAAAAAGCAGCAAUCCCUGGUAAAUCAUCGCCGAACAGUUUUCGAUUCAGGGAUGUCUGCAAGGAGCGUGCAUGUUGUGCGAGCAAGUGGCCUGGCAUCCCCAAGCAGUUAGUGUCUGAAAGUGUCAUUAACUGUGUAAGGAUGACGCAGUCACGAUCGUUGGAGGCCCACACGGCCGACGACCGGGUCACUGGGCGCAAGCCCCCCUAUAACAAACGCUGCUAAUCGCGGCCGCGAUAAUACGCAGUCGACCAAAAACCGAACAACUGUUAACAAUGGAUAUCUUGGUUCUC
rnacentral:misc_RNA from 1 species